CGUCACAUCCUUUCCUUUUUUAAAAAUUCGAUACAGAGAAGAUUAGCAUGGCCCCUGCAAAAGGAUAACACGUAAAUCCGUGAAGCGCACCAUACUUUU